AUUGAACGCUGGCGGCAGGCCUAACACAUGCAAGUCGAACGAGUGGCGGACGGGUGAGUAAUGUCUGGGAAACUGCCUGAUGGAGGGGGAUAACUACUGGAAACGGUAGCUAAUACCGCAUACCAUCAGAUGUGCCCAGAUGGUACUAGCUCGUUGGUGGGGUAGCGGCUCACCAAGGCCACGAUCCCUAGCUGGUGUGAGAGGGUGACCAGCCACACGUGAACUGAGACACGGUCCAGACUCCUACGAGAGGCAGCAGUGGGGAAUAUUGCACAAUGGGCGCAAGCCGGAUGCAGCCAUGCCGCGUGUAUGAAGAAGGCCUUCGGGUUGUAAAGUACUUUCAGCGGGGAGGCGUUACCCGCAGAAGAAGCACCGGCUAACUCCGUGCCAGCAGCCGCGGUAAUUC
rnacentral:rRNA from 1 species